GAUUGCUGGAGAUUCGGGGAGGGGCUUCUGUCCCGGCCCUCUGCCACAAAUGUACUUUUAACACCGCCGCGCCUUGGUGAACUGGCAGCCCGCUCCUUUUUCUGUCGAGUCAUUUUGCAGCGUAGCUGAAAAGUUGUGCGAUCUGAUGAUGCCGUCAACCAUCUAUUUAUUGACUCUGGGCUGGUGUUCAAGCUGACUAACUUGGCUCUGGUUGCACACUUGUGGCUAGUAAAAGUUGAUGAGAAUUGACUUUUUUAUUAUCUUAAAUAGGAUAAUAUUGAAAAAAGUAUCUCACUGCUACAUGGCUCUAUAUCUGUUCUUGACAAGUGAUUUCCUUCUCCAGCUGCUUUAUGCCAAUACAAGUGAUUGAAAUUGUGGGUGGGAGGAGAACAAAAAUCACUUUUUCCUGCUAUUGAAUCGGAGAAGUAGCCAAGGUCAAGAACAAAUCAAGGAUUUCCUACAAUUGAAAAUCAGGAUGUUCGAAGCCAUUGACUCCAUCUCCUUCCCUGGUUGGUUGUUCAUGUUGAACCAGACUGCUCGCAUCCAUGGCGUCCAG